AGAAGGGUACCGGAACCGGGCCGGUUAGAGCCAAACCGACUGGCUAACCAGUACCGGUUAACCGGUAACCGUCAAGCGUGAACGGUUUGGAAAUUGGUAACCGGUUGGUUUGCUAACCAGAACCGAAACUGGUCCCGGGUCAACCGGUUGACUAGCUUACAACAUCCAAUGAUUAUAAAUCCUAGUACUAAUAUUAAUUUCAUCGCAUAUCCGAACUCUAAAAAUUUUGUUCGGACUUAAUUUGUAUUUUUUAGUUCAAGCAAAUAAUUUAGUGCAGUUAAAAAUUUAUCAUUUUCUACAAAUGAUUAAGUGCAAUUAAAUUUUAACUAUUUUCAUAAUAAUUAAUAACCAAUAAUACAUGUAUAAGUCAUCUGAUUAGUUACUUAUACUAGUAAUAUAAUAUAAGAAUAAAAAAAAAAAAAAUCCAAAUCAAAAAACGGAAGAAGUCCUAUAAAUUGGGAAGUGUCCAAAGAGAAAAAGAAGAAAAAGUUAAAACUAUGCCGCCAAAACCAUAUACCUCAAUUUCAUAGGCUCCGCGCCAUUAUUCAGUUUCAACCCACGUUCAUAGUUCACAAUUCCAUUGUUUUCUCAAUUAAAAGAUAAUCUCAAACUACAGUGUCCAGCAAUUCAUCUGUGCUCUUGGAUUCUCUAUUCGGCUAAGUGGUAAUUAUUCUUUAUCAAUCUCAAUUUACAGAAUACAUUAUAUUUCUGCAGGUUAUUGUUGAACUUUCAAACUUACUGUCUAAAAAUUGUGUUGUAUCUGGUUCUUUAAAGUGACGUUAUAUUGAGCCUGCAAUUAGAAGUAAUUUAGAUCGAAAGCUACAGUACAUCUUAGAUUAAGCAAGCCAUCUAUUUGGGAGAGCUGGAAGCCUAACUGGGAGACUGAGGCUUUUAAGGCCAAAUCUACACAAUGUUCAAGAGAUUGACUAAGUGAGAAAUGUAGCCAAGGAUUUGACCAUACAUGAGGCUCUUGCACUCACCGGUGUAUGCAAGACUGCCUGCAGAUUAAUUCACCGAGCCUCCAACAAUUGAGUUUUCACAAAUUUACUUGGAUGAAGUGGGUGAGUUAAGAAGGCAUGCACUUAUGACCUUGUUUCUCUGGCAGCUUUCCAAGGAAAUGUUGGUGCAUCAUCCUCUUCGACUUCUCGACUUCAAGAUCGUGAUUUUGACGUUCGGGUGAAGGAAUGCGUUGUAUACCGUUUACAAGAGAUUAAGGAUGAGAUGAAGCAUGACAUGAGAGAAGAUGAGACAAGAAAUGAGAGAAGAAAUAAGACAAGAAAUGAGACACGAAAUGCAGCGAUAGGUGCACAAGCAAGUAGAUAAGAUUCUACAAGCCUAUAUGUCAGUUCUCAUUGCUAGCCUACCUAUAAUGUCCACUUGUAUACUACAUCAGUUUAGACACGCGUCAUCAAUUAAAUAAGGAUACGGGUUAUAUUUAAAUAGUUUUAACUCUUUAUCUUAGACUAUUGCAUUGUUAUUCAAAUUAUGGUUUAUAAAAGGACUACUAAUAUUGUUGGAUUUA